UAUGUAGAUUUAUGAAAAUGGUUUCUUCCCCUCGUGAUAACUCGUUUUCAAAGAAAAUAAAAGGUUUUCAUGUGAAAAAUAGUUUUUAAAAGAUUUUUUGGCUUUUCGUGAUAUUUAGUAUUUCAAAAAAUGAGUUUUCGGGUGGGAAACACUUUCAACUUAUAGUUGUCGGAUGUGGUGAAUAUUGUGAACGUACUGUUGUGAUUGGUUGUGGUUGUGACUUUUACUAUAUGCGACGCUGUGUAAAUACAGGGAGACUUUGUCCAUGUGAACAGUGAAUUAUUUGUAUUUGUGGCGGGUCUGUCAUCUCUUAGGUCAAGGUUUCAAAAAAAAAUAUCUGCGUAUUUUUCGCUGAGUCAUUGGUUUUUAAAUUAGCCUCCUUUUGAAAUUGCUUUAUAAAAGGG
rnacentral:lncRNA from 1 species